rnacentral:tRNA from 1 species
GCAGUCGUGGCCGAGUGGUUAAGGCGAUGGACUAAAAAUCCAUUGGGGUCUCCCCACACAGGUUCGAAUCCUGUCGACUGCG